AACGGACGCUGGCGGCAUGCUUAACACAUGCAAGGCGAACGAGACCUUCGGGUCUAGUGGCGCACGGGUGCGUAACGCGUGGGAAUCUGCCCUUAGGUACGGAAUAACUCAGAGAAAUUUGUGCUAAUACCGUAUGAUGUCGAAAGACCAAAGAUUUAUCGCCUAAGGAUGAGCCCGCGUAAGAUUAGCUUGUUGGUGAGGUAAAAGCUCACCAAGGCGACGAUCUUUAGCUGGUCUGAGAGGAUGAUCAGCCACACUGGGACUGAGACACGGCGCAGACUCCUACGGGAGGCAGCAGUGGGGAAUAUUGGACAAUGGGCGAAAGCCUGAUCCAGCGAUGCCGCGUGAGUGAUGAAGGCCUUAGGGUUGUAAAGCUCUUUUACCAGGGAUGAUAAUGGCAGUACCUGGAGAAUAAGCUCCGGCUAACUCCGUGCCAGCCGCCGCUGUAA
rnacentral:rRNA from 1 species